CAGCUAAUCCCGAUCAUGAUGAUUAUUUCUAAUACAUGUAUGAUCCGUACUAAUUUAGUUAUAAUUUAAUUAUAAUUUGCAUAUCUUUGUAAUUAUGUUUUGUUUGCCUAUGCUGACUGGUGUACUCUUUUUAAUUGCAGGUCAUUGAGCAAUGGUGGGCGGUAUGAGGAAGCUCACGUCGAUUUGCGAGAGACUGGCCGCGUCAAGGAUUGGUUCAGGGUCAGGGUCACGUUCAGGGAGCGGUCGAGGGAGGCGUCGAGGCAGGCCUCGACGUAGGGUUGAGGAGGGGGAGGAGGAGGAGGAGGUACCUUCCGCACACGCCUCUGGGGACGAGGAGGAGGAGG
rnacentral:lncRNA from 1 species